UACGGAGGGUGCAAGCGUUAUCCGGAUUCACUGGGUUUAAAGGGUGCGUAGGUGGGCAGGUAAGUCAGUGGUGAAAUCUCUGGGCUUAACCCGGAAACUGCCAUUGAUACUAUUGUCUUGAAUAUCGUGGAGGUCAGCGGAAUAUGUCAUGUAGCGGUGAAAUGCUUAGAUAUGACAUAGAACACCAAUUGCGAAGGCAGCUGGCUACACGAAUAUUGACACUGAUGCACGAAAGCGUGGGGAUCAAACAGG
rnacentral:rRNA from 1 species